rnacentral:rRNA from 1 species
UCUGGGRAUCUGGCUUAUGGAGGGGGAUAACCAUUGGAAACGGUGGCUAAUACCGCAUGAUGUCGCAAGACCAAAGUGGGGGACCUUARGGCCUCACGCCAUGAGAUGAACCCAGAUGAGAUUAGCUAGUAGGUGCGGUAAUGGCGUACCUAGGCGACGAUCUCUAGCUGGUCUGAGAGGAUGACCAGCCACACUGGAACUGAGAGACGGUCCAGACUCCUACGGGAGGCAGCAGUGGGGAAUAUUGCACAAUGGGCGGAAGCCUGAUGCAGCCAUGCCGCGUGUGUGAAGAAGGCCUUAGGGUUGUAAAGCACUUUCAGCGGGGAGGAAGGCGGUAAGAGUAAUAUGCUUAUCRAUUGACGUUACCCGCAAAAGAAGCACCGGCUAACUCCGUGCCAGCAGCCGCGGUAAUACGGAGGGUGCGAGCGUUAAUCGGAAUAACUGGGCGUAAAGRGCAUGUAGGCGGUAAGUUAAGUCAGAUGUGAAAUCCCCGAGCUUAACUUGGGAACGGCAUUUGAGACUGGCUGGCUAGAGUUUUGUAGAGGGGGGUAGAAUUCCAGGUGUAGCGGUGAAAUGCGUAGAGAUCUGGAGGAAUACCGGUGGCGAAGGCGGCCCCCUGGACAAGGACUGACGCUGAGGUGCGAAAGCGUGGGUAGCAAACAGGAUUAGAUACCCUGGUAGUCCACGCUGUAAACGAUGUCGAUUUGGAGGUUGUGACCUAGUGUUAUGG